rnacentral:rRNA from 1 species
UCGGGAAUUUUGCCCAAUGGACGAAAGUCUGAGGCAGCAACUCCGCGUGAGGGACGAAGGCCUUCGGGUCGUAAACCUCUUUUCUCAGGGAAGAUACAAGACGGUACCUGAGGAAUAAGCCACGGCUAACUACGUGCCAGCAGCCGCGGUAAUACGUAGGUGGCGAGCGUUGUCCGGAUUUACUGGGCGUAAAGCGCGCGCAGGCGGCUGGUCAAGUCCGAUGUGAAAGCUCGCGGCUCAACUGGGAAAAUGCAUCGGAAACUGACCGGCUUGAAGGUGGGAGAGGGUAGUGGAAUUCCCGGUGUAGUGGUGAAAUGCGUAGAUAUCGGGAGGAACACCAGUGGCGAAGGCGACUACCUGGCCCACUCUUGACGCUGAGGCGCGAAAGCUAGGGGAGCGAACGG